UUGGGAAUUUUCCACAAUGGGCGAAAGCCUGAUGGAGCAACGCCGCGUGCAGGAAGAAUGCCUUCGGGUUGUAAACUGCUUUUAUGUGCGAAGAAUAUGACGGUAGCAUAUGAAUAAGGGUCGGCUAACUACGUGCCAGCAGCCGCGGUCAAACGUAGGACCCAAGCGUUAUCCGGAAUUACUGGGCGUAAAGAGUUGCGUAGGUGGUCUAUUAAGUGGAGCGUGAAAGCGUGUGGCUUAACCAUACAGCUGCGUUUUAAACUGAUAAACUAGAGUGCGAAAGAGGUAGAUGGAAUUCCCAGUGUAGGAGUGAAAUCCGUAGAUAUUGGGAGGAACACCGAUGGCGUAGGCAGUCUACUGGUUCAUUACUGACACUAAGGCACGAAAGCGUGGGGAGCGA
rnacentral:rRNA from 1 species